rnacentral:rRNA from 1 species
UACGGGGGGGGGCAAGCGUUGUUCGGAAUUACUGGGCGUAAAGGGCUCGUAGGCGGCCAACUAAGUCGGACGUGAAAUCCCUCGGCUUAACCGGGGAACUGCGUCCGAUACUGGAUGGCUUGAGUUCGGGAGAGGGAUGCGGAAUUCCAGGUGUAGCGGUGAAAUGCGUAGAUAUCAGGAGGAACACCGGUGGUGUAGACGGCUUUCUGGACCAUAACUGACGCUGAGACACGAAAAGCGUGGGUAGCGAACAGG